rnacentral:rRNA from 1 species
UGAGUACGAGAUGCUACGGCAUCGAAGCAGUCUAUGUCAUACUUCCAAGAAAAGCUUGCACUGUCAUAAACAAAGAAUGCCUGUACCAUAACCGACACAGGUGGGUAGGUAGAGUAUACUAAGAGCGCGAGAUAACUCUCUCUAAGGAACUCGGCAAAAUGACUCCGUAACUUCGGGAGAAGGAGUGCCUUAUUUCUAAGGUUGCAAUAACAAGAUCCAAGCAACUGUUUACCAAAAACACAGGUCUCCGCUAAGUCGUAAGACGAUGUAUGGGGGCUGACGCCUGCCCAGUGCCAGAAGGUUAAAGAAGUUGGUUAGCAUUAGCGAAGCUGAUAACUGAAGCCCUGGUAACGGCGGCCGUAACUAUAACGGUCCUAAGGUAGCGAAAUUCCUUGUCGGGUAAGUUCCGACCCGCACGAAAGGCGUAAUGAUUUGGAUACUGUCUCGGAGAGGGGCUCGGUGAAAUAGACUUGUCUGUGAAGAUGCGGACUACCUGCACCUGGACAGAAAGACCCUAUGAAGCUUUACUGUAACUUGAGAUUGAAAUUGGACUUUAUUUGCGCAGUAUAGGUGGGAGGCGUUGAGAAUAAUCUUGCGGGAUUGUUGGAGCCAUCAGUGAGAUACCACUCUUGUAAUGUUAGAUUUCUAACUUUGUAUCAUUAUCUGGUCAAAGAACAGUUUCAGGCGGGCAGUUUGACUGGGGCGGUCGCCUCCCAAAGGGUAACGGAGGCGCACAAAGGUUUCCUCUGAACGGGUAGAAAUCGUAUCUAGAGUGUAAAGGCAUAAGGAAGCUUGACUGUGAGACCUACAAGUCGAGCAGGGACGAAAGUCGGUCUUAGUGAUCUGACGGUGCUGAGUGGAAGGGCCGUCACUCAACGGAUAAAAGUUACUCUAGGAUAACAGGCUGAUCUCCCCCAAGAGUUCACAUCGACGGGGAGGUUUGGCACCUCGAUGUCGGCUCAUCGCAUCCUGGGGCGGUAGUCCGUCCCAAGGGUUGGGCUGUUCGCCCAUGAAAGCGGUACGCGAGCUGGGUUCAGAACGUCGUGAGACAGUUCGGUCCAUAUCCGGUGUAGGCGUUAGAAUAUUGAGAGGAGCCUUCUCUAGUACGAGAGGACCGAGAAGGACAUACCUCUGGUGUACCAGUUAUCGUGCCAACGGUAAACGCUGGGUAGCUAUGUAUGGAGUGGAUAACCGCUGAAAGCAUCUAAGUGGGAAGCCCACCUCAAGAUAAGUAUUCUCACC